UGUGGAGUCCCAAGGAGUUUUUAUGAGCCUCUGUCGCUGAGUGAAGGGAUUAAUGUGCGGAAGGAUACCAUUCUCCAGUUGUGCCACUUGUGCCAGUCUGCCGAGGAAACCGCUCCACUUCAUCUCUAACCCUUCAACUCAUGAAUGCGUUUGUGGGUAGUUGUGGUGAUGGCGGUUGUAGGCAUGUGCUACAGCAUGCUGAGCUUGUGGGAAUCAGCUUUUUCUUCCUGCUAUGUGGUUUCCAGAGACUGAACAUGGGUCAUCAGUCUUGAUGGUUUCUGUUCACUGCAAGGUAAAGGAGAUGGGAUAGUCAGAAGAGAGAACCGCCUGAUGUGACUAAAACCUAAUAUAGAUAAUUCUGCAGUCAAACAGAGAAGUGAAAAAAAAAAGUGUGUUCAGUAUAUAUUUAUUUUACUCCAAAUGCUUAUAAAAAGGGAUUUGCUG